rnacentral:tRNA from 1 species
UAUGAAAUGGCAGAAUUAAUGCCUAAACUUUAAGCGUUUAACAUGACCCUAGGUCUUUCAU